rnacentral:lncRNA from 1 species
GGGCUUCAUCUUGAUAUAGAAUUUUACUUUAGCUUUAGUCUUUCACCUUGGCUCGAUCAUUGAUCUUUACUUCGGCUCAGUCUUGAUCUUUAUGUCAGCUUGCUUUGAUCUUUACCUCGAUUUGAUUUUGAUUUUUGCCUCGACUUUAUCUUGUUGUUUGCCUUGGCUCGAUUUGAUCUUCACCUCAGCUCGGCCUUCUUUUUUGCCUCGGCUCAGCAUGAUCUUCACCU